rnacentral:rRNA from 1 species
UUUACUCCUUACGGGAGGCAGCAGUGGGGAAUAUUGCACAAUGGGCGCAAGCCUGAUGCAGCGACGCCGCGUGAGGGAUGACGGCCUUCGGGUUGUAAACCUCUUUCAGUAGGGAAGAAGCGAAAGUGACGGUACCUGCAGAAGAAGCGCCGGCUAACUACGUGCCAGCAGCCGCGGUAAUACGUAGGGCGCAAGCGUUAUCCGGAAUUAUUGGGCGUAAAGAGCUCGUAGGCGGUUUGUCGCGUCUGCCGUGAAAGUCCGGGGCUCAACUCCGGAUCUGCGGUGGGUACGGGCAGACUAGAGUGAUGUAGGGGAGACUGGAAUUCCUGGUGUAGCGGUGAAAUGCGCAGAUAUCAGGAGGAACACCGAUGGCGAAGGCAGGUCUCUGGGCAUUAACUGACGCUGAGGAGCGAAAGCAUGGGGAGCGAACAGGAUUAGAUACCCUGGUAGUCCAUGCCGUAAACGUUGGGCACUAGGUGUGGGGGACAUUCCACGUUUUCCGCGCCGUAGCUAACGCAUUAAGUGCCCCGCCUGGGGAGUACGGCCGCAAGGCUAAAACUCAAAGGAAUUGACGGGGGCCCGCACAAGCGGCGGAGCAUGCGGAUUAAUUCGAUGCAACGCGAAGAACCUUACCAAGGCUUGACAUGAACCGGAAAGGCCUGAAACCAG